UACGGAGGAGGCAAGCGUUAUCCGGAAUUAUUGGGCGUAAAGCGUCCGCAGGUGGCACUUCAAGUCUGUCGUCAAAGACUGGGGCUUAACCCUGGAAAGGCGGUGGAAACUGAAGCGCUAGAGUGCGGUAGGGGUAGAGGGAAUUCCCGGUGUAGCGGUGAAAUGCGUAGAUAUCGGGAAGAACGCCAACAGCGAAGGCACUCUGCUGGGCCGACACUGACACUCAGAGACGAAAGCUAGGGGAGCGAAUGGG
rnacentral:rRNA from 1 species